rnacentral:misc_RNA from 1 species
AAGGGGUUCUGGGUUUUUCUGAACUUUGCUUAAAUUUUGGGUUUCAAUGGAUUUUGAUGGAAAGAAUUGAUUGUUGAGGUAUUUUGUUAUUUGGGUGUUGAGUUGUUAAAGGAAAAUAUGGAAGAAGAUAAGGCAGUGUUUGUUGGGAGUAGGAAUAGCAUUAUUAGUGAAGAAAAGACUGUGUUUUCAGAAAUGGAAGUGGAAACUGCUGACAUGGAUAUAUCUGAU